rnacentral:lncRNA from 1 species
UGGUGCUUAAUUCUGUUGUUUUUGAAUUUUAGUGGUAUUUUGUGCUUUGCGUGUACCGUUUACUGUUAUGCGAUUUUUUGUAUCUUUUUUUAUUUUAUCCUGUGUUGAGUAGUGGAUAUGGUGGUAAAUGAUAGAAUAGGGUCAUGUGCUGGGAAUUUGAGGGUGGGGUCGGGGUUCGGUGGUGGGUCUAGGUGGAAAGACGGUGGACGAAGUAUUAGGGGAGGGGUUUUGAGAGAUGAUAGGUUAAGGGUAGGGUUGUGGAACAUAAGGACCCUUCAGGGUAAGUCG